rnacentral:pre_miRNA from 1 species
UUGUAUAUAUAUGUAUACACAUAUAUGUGUAUAUAUAUGUAUACACAUAUAUGUGUAUAUAUAUGUGUAUACA